rnacentral:rRNA from 1 species
UACGUAGGGUGCGAGCGUUAAUCGGAAUUACUGGGCGUAAAGCGUGCGCAGGCGGUUUUGUAAGCCAGAUGUGAAAUCCCCGGGCUCAACCUGGGAAUGGCAUUUGGGACUGCAAGGCUUGAGUGCGGCAGAGGAGACUGGAAUUCCUGGUGUAGCAGUGAAAUGCGUAGAUAUCAGGAGGAAUACCGAUGGCGAAGGCAGGUCUCUGGGCUGACACUGACGCUCAUGCACGAAAGCGUGGGGAGCAAACAGG